AAAUGGGAAGGUUUGUGUGGAGGGUUUUUGGAAGUUCUGCAGGUUUGCAGUCAUAAUUGCGAGAUUUGUAUUCGCCUGCUCCCCCGUCUGCUGAGAAAUGGUUUCGUUCCAUUGUCCGUGCCUUCUGUCUGUGUUUUCAAUCCGCAAUGGAAGGAAGCGUGUAAGUGAAAGCAUUAAGGUCUCUCCAGUCCAGGCUGCAGUGUGGAGUAGUGCCUUGGGCUCUGGAGCCGUGACAAGGGGGUUGAUGGUUUAAAUCCUGUGUGAGACACAGCUGUUAUAUCCUUGAGCAAGGUAGGUAACUCGUAUUGCUCUGGGAAAUAAAGUACCUUUCUUUUAAAUGGUAUUCUCUGGGCCACCAUUCUAAAUAAGAAUGUGCUCUCAAGUGAUAGUUCCAGCAUUGCCUAGUUAAGUAAGGCUUGGCCUGGUCAGUUUAGGAUGGUAGAUCUCUUGGGUUAGUGGUGUUGCUGGACCAGUAGGUGACACUCCUUUCUCUGGACUAGAAUGUCCAAACCAGUGAACAAUUGGAUGCACUUCACUGUGAUGAACAAUAGAUCACAAUGAACUGUAUAUGUAAAGCAUCUUGGGGUGAACAGUGCUGUUUAAUGCAGCCAUAUUACCCGGAAACUCACAACUGACAACCCAGUGAAGCUCAGCAGAUGUGAGCCUGGUCAGCACCUGGAUGAGACCUCUUGGGAAAAACUAAGGUUGCUGCUGGAAGAGGCAUUAGUGGGGCCAGCAGGGGGCGUUUCUCAAAAAGAGUAGGGGUGAAACCCUGGCGUCCUGGCCAAAUUUCCCAUUGGCCUUUGCCAGUCAUGGCCUCCUAAUAAACCCCAUCUAUGAAUUGGCUUCGUCACUUUGUUCUCCUCCCUAUUAAUAGCUGGUGUGUGGUGAGCGUACUGGUGCACUAUGGCUGCCAUCGCAUCAUCCAGGUGGGCAUUGGUGGUGGUGGAUGGGAGUCCCCAUUACCUGUAAAGCACUUUGAGUGGAGUG
rnacentral:lncRNA from 1 species